rnacentral:rRNA from 1 species
UACAGAGGUCCCGAGCGUUGUUCGGAUUCAUUGGGCGUAAAGGGUGCGUAGGCGGCGGGGCCAGUCUGAUGUGAAAUCCCGGGGCUCAACCCCGGAACUGCAUUGGAUACUGCCUUGCUAGAGUACUGGAGAGGGAACUGGAAUUUACGGUGUAGCAGUGAAAUGCGUAGAGAUCGUAAGGAAGGCCGGUGGCGAAGGCGAGUUCCUGGACAGUUACUG